ACCACCUUGUGAGAGCUAGCCAUAAUGGGUUAGGAUAAUGCUGAAUUAUCCUUGCAUUUUGUGAAUUAAGGAAAAAAAACAUAAAAUUUGAUAAGAAAAUCAUUUUUGCUCCUCUCUCUCUUUUCGGUCAAGAACACCGGCAGCAAACCUAGCUUGAUAAUUUGAUUUCUCUGUGAUUUCUUAAAGUUAAUCCAAAGGUAGGAACCCUAGAACCUAUAUCGUUAUAUUUUAAUGACCUUUCUUUAGUUUUGAGCAUGCAAAGUGUAGAACUAGGCUCUGUCUGAACCCUAGGAGUUAGGGGAUGCUUUCUGAAGUUAAGUUAAGUUGUUUUAGGUUUAAUUGGGUUAGAAUUAAGGGAUGGUUAUGAUUUUGAGAAAGUUUGAGUUCAAAAACUCAAACUUGGCUCAACAAUAGUGGAUUGUGUAUUUGGGUGCUAUUUUCAUUUCUAUCACUUAGAAAUGGUUUAUUUUGUUGAGUAUAUGUGUUCUAGAGCUCAUGGUAAAGUUUGGGGUGGUUUUAGGUCCAAUUGGCGAUUUCUUAUUUUUCUGCACAGAAAAAUGGCAGUCUGUUUCUGCAGAAACAACCUACCAUUUUUACUGCUACAGAUCCAGAAAAAUGACCUGCUGUUUUUUAGAAAAUGGCCUAUCUUUUUUCUGGCAAUUUCCCCUUUCGUUGUUUUUCUCGUGUUUCCUCGAUAUUUAUGGCUUUGGCAUGCGAUUUAUUGAUAGGGAAACUUUUAGUUUUGAGUUUAGAUCCCCAAAAAGGCUUUAGAAUGUUGUUUACUGUUUAAUGUGAUUGUGACAUAGGGCCUCUGUUUAGCACAGGACUUCCCAUUCAGGUCGACUGACACACUUGAAUUCCAAAACAAGGUAAAGGGAAGGCUAAAGCUGAACAAUAGUGAGUUCUGAGCUUGACGAUGAUUUUACAUGUCGAGACGGUGCGACCUGGAGAGUUCGGUCUCGGGACGACUUGAGCUUCAUUUUGUGGUUGUUGUGUGACAUGUCUAUAAAAGCUAUUUGGGAUUUAAAUUUUGAAAACGGGAUCCUGGUUUUGUAUAUAAAUAUAUGUAUAUGUUUAUAAAAGUUUAAAGUUAAAUCAAAAUUUUAAUUUAUCACGAUUUUUGAGAAAAACCUUUGAUUAGCGAAGGUGUGCACUGCAAUUAAAAAGUCACUAUAGCGUGUCUAA